rnacentral:lncRNA from 1 species
ACGAGAAGUACGAAUUUACGAAGACAAGCCAGAAUAGGUUGGUGAAGUGCAAAAAAAUAAAUCGAACAAAAAAUUGAAAAAGAAAUUUCAAGUUGUAUUGCAAGUUUCUCAUUGUUUCUGAAGUAUUGAAAAAAAACGAAAUUUCAAAAAAAAAAGAGUGUUGGAAAUUUCCCAAUUCACAAAGAAUAGAUUUUCUGCCCCCAUCUCUUCUACC